rnacentral:lncRNA from 1 species
GACAUGAUUUAUUUACUAUUUAAUUUUACACAUCAGAAUAUACCCUCACAACACCCUAGCGCUACUAUUUUCAAUAUGGCAAAUUUCAACACUUGAUACAUUUAUGUACAUUUACAGUGGCGGAAAUCUUGGUGGGGCAGGGGGGGUGGGGUGGCUCCCCCCCCCACCUUCACAGAAAAUUGACAAAUUUUCGGAAAUUUUGACCUAAAAGAGGGUUAAAAACAGUCUUUUCGAGUGCAAAUGGG